rnacentral:rRNA from 1 species
UGGGGAAUAUUGCGCAAUGGGGGAAACCCUGACGCAGCGACGCCGCGUGAGCGAUGAAGGCCUUAGGGUUGUAAAGCUCUGUUUUAAGGGACGAAUGUUACGGGGAGUAAUAUGCCCUGUAAAUGACGGUACCUUAAGAGGAAGCCCCGGCUAACUACGUGCCAGCAGCCGCGGUAAGACGUAGGGGGCGAGCGUUGUCCGGAAUUACUGGGCGUAAAGAGCACGUAGGCGGGACUUUAAGUCAGGUGUGAAAGACCGGGGCUCAAC